GAAAUUAAUUGUUCAUCAUACAACUUCUAUUGGAAGUAGCAAAGAUUUGAGGAAGGCUAAUCAAAAUCUUGCAAGUAGCCUUCCGUAUGGAAAUCCAAAAAUAGCACGCCUUGUUUAGUUACUUACACAUCUAUAUCUGAGCAGGGCAGAGAGAGAGACAUAUUUUUCAAUUCAAGGUUGAAAGUUAUUUAUGAACCUGGGGCUUUAGUUUCAGCCAUCUCCAAUGAUGGCGCCACCGCCUUCUCUUUUGUCUUGAAGAAGCUUCUUGCAUAAAGGGAUCCAAAAACGAUUACAGCUCCGAUGCAUUGCUCCCAGCUCAAAGGAUGGCCAAACCACAAGCAUGACAGCAAAAUGCUCAACAACUGUCUUGUGGUCAUUAUGGUUGCAAAGGUUAGAGCACCAAAUGUGCGGAUUGUGUACGAAAUGAAGAAUUGACUAGCUGUUGCUACAGUCGAAAGCAGAGCAAUGUCAAAGAAACAAUCAUGAUGGCGA
rnacentral:misc_RNA from 1 species